AUUGCAUAAUGCGGUAGAAAGUGCAUUUGCAGCAGAAACAGACUGCAAAGGAACAAGUAUCUUGAUUCACAGCAAAGAGGACAAAGAAAAGCUGCAAGCUCUAAGGGUUGAAUGCUGGAUUGUGAAAUUAGUCUGUGAAAUGAUGAACUGUCACUUCCUAAAUCUUCUGCAGAUGUUGCUGUUGCUGGAGAAAUGUCACUGGGAAAGAUAAAGGACCAUUAUUCUAAAGAGUGUUUCAGGCUGACUGAAUCAGGUCUGAGACAUUAUUGAAAUGG
ensembl:lincRNA